CAUUAGUUACCAUAGGGCUUUGGAGCGUGAUGUCACGGGGGUGGGGAUGGAAAGGAUUUUGGCCUGAUGCACCAUUUUUGUGGUCAAAAUAAAGCGCAAGCGAAAAAGGAGCGAAGAUGUCGUGAGGUGCCAUGACGAGAAGGAGUGACUGAGAGGAUCAUCCACAAGAUGGGAGCUGAGGCCUGGAGAAAGUCUUCAGGAACAUCAGAGAUCACCUUCAGCACAGAGAGCUGUGCUACUGGGCUUCCAGGAGAUUGUCAUGUGGAGACUCUGCACAGCAAAAUCUUAAAUAAGAUAAGAGUUUCGACGUUGACGUUGAGGAAGACAACUAAGCUGUACGACGUGCUCUGUCUUAAAAAUCUUCAGCACCGUUGGAACGUGAGAACCUGAGGGAGCGUGCCAAGCUCCAAAAAGUGACAGCGCAGAGGAGGUCCAGCGAUGGACUUGUGGUUCUGUAAACAGCACAAAUACCAGGUGACUGUGAAAAACCUAACAGCACUUUUUCCACAGGUGAAGCCAGUAACUUACUAUCCUAACAGAUUAGCUCUAGUUGCUUGUGCUUUACCUCCAUGCGUGAGAUCAGUAUGUGCUUCUUUCGUUUUGCCAAUGAAAGAAGAGGGCACUUCUCACGAGUGUAGAGAGCACGUGGAGAAGCAGUGUGAGCCAGGGAUGACUUAACAGAUGUGCCACUUGUUGAGGGAAAGGUUUGGUUUGUUGAUGGGUUGAGUUUUACAACAGCAGAGGGACAGACUAAAACAGGUUUUACUGUAGUAGAUGGUGAGAAAGUUAUCUGUGCAGGACAACUAGCAUGUUUCAUAUUUGCUUGAGCAGCAGAGAUAGUAGCUUUAACGGAAGCGUGUAAUGCUGAAGAGAGACAAAAUACACUGAUAGCCAAUAUGCAUUUGCUACAUUACACUUCUUUGUAGUGCAGUGGGUGAGACGAGGUGUGACAACCUCUAUAGGGAAGCCUGUAGAACACGCCAAACUCUUGCAAAAUCUGCUGGAGGCAGUGUUAUUACCCAGUAGAAUUGCCAUUUGUAAAUGUGUAGCACACAUGUGAGGGAAAGAUCCAGUUGCAUUAAGGAAUGCUUUUGCACAUAGGAUCGCAAGAGAGGCAACUUUAGGAAAACAUGGUGUUAAUAUUUUAGCACUGCAACACCAGUAGACGUUGCCUAUUAUGCGAGAUGCACUGGCAGACAUGCAGGCCCACUCACCUACUGCAGGAAAACAGUUGUGACUUACAGAAGGAGCGAGCUUGCAGGAUGGUGUUUAUUAUCUGUGUGAUAAACCAAUACUGUCUUAGAAUUUGUAUAAGACUGCUGCUAUUUUGAGCCAUGGGCUAUGCCAUGUCUCCACAGGGGGGAGAAGAUGAUGGCAGCAGUAGUUUAUACUCUAGGAUUAAAUACCUUUUAAAAAAAAAUUUGCAGGGAGAGAGAACUAAUGGAACAGUAAAGCUAAGACUCAGGAAGUCAAUGGAAGAGACAGGCAGGACAUGGUUAGACUGUGUAGAAUUAGUUAAGAUGUACAUGAGGAUUACUCUAACAGAGAACGGUCUGACUCUUUGAGAUUAUAUAUGUUAGAGCAUUUAGAGUUCUAGUCUUCUGUAGUGAUGAUAGAAGAGCAGAAGAGAGAGCAUAUUAGCAGAUUAGAUGCUUAAAAUGUUUAAAAAUAAAGAAGUCUUGAGAACAAAUGAUCUGCCAGAUGAUUCUGUUUCUCCGCAGGAGCAGAGUCUGAAGUCUGGAGAUUUGAUGUUGAUAAGGCCAUGGAGAGGAAGUGCUGGUCCAGUCCACGGUGGGAAGGUCCCUAUCAGGUGCUGCUGACGACGCUCACAGCAGUGAAGAUUGCUGGAAGAAACACUUGGAUACAUCAAGCGCACUGCAAGAAGAUAGACGAAACUGUCAUUCCAUUAAUGACAGACAGUGACCUGGCAAAGUACAUCCCCAAAGUUGGCGAUAGAGUCUCCACUGUGGCCUUUUGCAGACAAGCAACACUGUCACGGACGUCACCAUCCAGGAAAGAAUCUAUAUUCUCAAGGCUACAACAAAGACUGACAGGAGCUGAGGGAAUGCCUCCUAAAAAGAGAUUGUCUCAGUGGGCAGAAAAUACAAAUGCAAAACGAACAGUGAGACGAAUUGAGGUUGGCUGGAUGCAUUUUGAUGAGGAGAAGGACGGGUUCAAACAGGUGAAGUCUGUAAGUGGUGGUGGAACAAGGCAUUUAUCUGUAGAUAAAAAUGAAACAGUGUCAAAUAUCAAACUUAUGGCUGAAAAUCUUUUUUCCCCAGUGGUAUCUCAAAAAACCCCAAAAGUCUUUGUUGGGAUUCAGAGAUUCUUUUAUUGCUGCCAUAUAACCUGCCUUAUGAUAAAUGCAUUAAGAACAUGUUUUACAGCAUUAUUUUAUCAGUAAUAUUUCUU